rnacentral:tRNA from 1 species
GGGUCGUUAGCUCAGUUGGUAGAGUAGCUGACUCUUAAUCAGCCAGUCCGGGGUUCGAGCCCCCGACGACCCACCA